CCUACGGGAGGCUGCAGUGAGGAAUAUUGGUCAAUGGGCGGAAGCCUGAACCAGCCAAGUCGCGUGAGGGAUUAAGGCCCUGCGGGUCGUAAACCUCUUUUGCCGGGGAGCAGUGGUCCGGACGCGUCCGGGCCGGGAGAGUACCCGGAGAAAAAGCAUCGGCUAACUCCGUGCCAGCAGCCGCGGUAAUACGGGGGAUUCGAGCGUUAUCCGGAUUUAUUGGGUUGAAGGGGUGCGUAGGCGGGCAUUUAAGCCGGCGGUCAAAUGUCGGGGCUCAACCCCGGCCUGCCGUCGGAACUGGGUGCCUUGAGUGGGCGAGAAGUAUGCGGAAUGCGUGGUGUAGCGGUGAAAUGCAUAGAGAUCACGCAGAACCCCGAUUGCGAAGGCAGCAUACCGGCGCCCUACUGACGCUGAGGCACGAAAGUGCGGGUAUCGAACAGGAUUAGAUACCCUUGUAGUC
rnacentral:rRNA from 1 species